AAACAUGAUAAUGACAGCCCGGGCUCUCGCCGGCCGGGCUCCUUCUCUCGCUGGCUCCGCGGAUAUUUUGGGAGGCCCGUCGGUGCCAGGCGCAGUCAGCAGCGAUGUUGAAACUGAGGCUCAGAGAAGUGAGGAGCUUUGGCCAAAUUCUCAGAACUAGAAAUGGAUUUCCAGGCCAACUGACCCCGGAGGCUGAACUCCCAGACACAGAUGAGGAAAUUCAAGAUGGGAGAGCCAAAUGCUGCUGCAGAAGUCUUUAGCAGGUCACCCGACUCUCCUGGCCACCCCGUGAGAAAACAUCCUAGGGAGGCAGGGGUUCCAGGCACUCAGGUGUCCGUGUUGGCAUAGCUCACUGCCCUGCACCACUGUGCUCAGGCCAUUAGGGUUUGAGGGCCCACAGCCAAGAGUCACUGUAUUUGUGCAAAGUCAUAGAUGCAAACAAGACACCUAGGGACAUCCAGCUCCUACUGCUUGGGUCAUGGCCUGGGAGGCAAGGAUUGGGUUUCUCUCCCUGCAUCUGCCCCAGAGGUGCUUUGUGACCAUGACCACCAAGCCACUUCCCUGGACUAGACUUCAGUGUCCUCAUCAAUAAAAACCAAGAAUUUUAAAUUUC